GAGGGGCCUGCGACCCAUCAGCUAGUUGGUAAGGUAACGGCCUACCAAGGCGAUGACGGGUAGGGGACCUGAGAGGGUGGCCCCCCACAAUGGAACUGAAACACGGUCCAUACACCUACGGGUGGCAGCAGUAGGGAAUAUUGCUUAAUGGGCGAAAGCCUGAAGCAGCAACGCCCGCGUGUGCGAUGAAGGCCUUCGGGUUGUAAAGCACUUUUGAUCGGGAAGAGGAAGGACCGGUACCGGUCGAAUAAGCCUCGCCUAACUACGUGCCAGCAGCCGCGGUAAAACGUAGGAGGCGAGCGUUAUCCGGAUUUUACUGGGGUGUAAAGCGCGUGCAGGCGGUUUGCUAAGUUGGGUGUGAAAAAGCUCCUGGCUCAACUGGGAGAGGUCGCUCAAGACUGGCAGACUGGAGAGCAGGAAGGGAAGGUAGAAUUCCGGGUGUAGUGGUGAAAUGCGUAGAUAUCCGGAGGAAUACCAGUGGCGAAGGCGGCCUUCUGGACUGCAUCUGACGCUCAGACGCGAAAGCUAGGGGAGCAAACGGGAUUAGAG
rnacentral:rRNA from 1 species